rnacentral:tRNA from 1 species
GCGGGGGUAGCCAAGCCUGGUCUAAGGCGCAGGGCUCAGAACCCUGUGGGGUAGCCCUUCGUGGGUUCAAAUCCCACCCCCCGCACCA